AACCUGAACUUCCACUGGUGCAACUUGAGGCUAUUACCUCUCAUCCGAUUGCUGUCGCCUAGAAGAGGCCAAUCCCCACCUCACCACAACCUCCUUUCAGGACUUCCUGUCCUCAGGAGAAGGAUUUUCUCCUUUCCUACCAUUCAAAAGUUGGAUUUUUUUAAUGUUUGGGUUUUUUUUUUCCCCAAAGUUCAAGCCUGGUCCAAACAGAACAUUUUGUUUUCUUCAAAAAUCAAUUUGUUAACUCAACGUACAACUGUGUUCCAGUAGGCAUUGUACUCUCCACUGAAUUUUACAGUAUUCCUGCUAAAUACGAGCUGGUCUACUGAGAGAACAUGAAGACCUCUGUGGCACGCCAGGUAUUACAGCUCUAAUCAUUUCAGGGAAGAACAGAAGGAUUCACCUGCCAGGGCCAGCUGUAUGGUCUUGCAUUUUCUCCUCCAACAACUCGAGACACAGCAGGUGGGUAGGCAGGAACCCCGCAGCCAAGGGCUGGAAAACAUACAAAGAUUUGUGUUUUAAAAGUAGGAACUGAAAAAGAAUUCUGUAAGAGAGGUUGGGUUGGUUGGUUUUUGUUCUUAUGGUUUGUUUGUUGAUUUAAUAUAGACUGUGCUUGUAUGGAACGUUGAAAGGCAGAGAUACAGCCUACAAUUGGAUGUAAUACAGGUGAAGAUACAGCCAUCAGUCAAGGCUGAGCAAUGUUAUAUAAAGCCUAUUUGUUUUCUGGCAGGUAAUCAAAUCAUGUUGGCUCAACCAAAUUCUCAUGAAUCAACUGAGAUGCAGCUCGUAGCAGAUGCAAAGCAAUCUGGCAUGGAUUGACUGUGUUACAGAGCAUUCAAGCUAAGUAAAAUAACUUCUAAGUAAAAUAACAGGCUGAGAGCAGUGGUGCUCCUUGAACUUCUGUGAUAUGAACAGAAUAACUUAGUACCUAGCUGCCAUUCUGAACCUUUUAUUUAACAAAAGCAAUUAAUUAAUUGUCUUAUUCUGCUUAAAAAAAAAAUAAUAAUAGGAAAGCUGCUAUUAGAUUUUAAUUCAUUUUUUCUUUAGAACUGGUAUUGAAAUUGAGAACAUACCUGCAGCUGCCAGAGUCAGCACAGCAAAGAGGAUUCCAAGCAUGAUGCCGGGUAACUGCAUGCUGUGGGCUCUGCUUCACAGCUUGUUUUAUACCUCACCUCCUGGAGACGUGAACCAAGUUGCGUUGUGUUUCAGCAUGCCAUCCUUCCUCAGUAAAACCAACUGCAAUUGCUUGGGAGCAGAUGUUACAAGGAGUACAGAGAACAAACUGUCUGUGAUGAUGGAGGAUGAUGCAGCAUGAAUACGUUGUCCCACCAAAACAAUGCUUUACGUGGUUGGACUGGAUGAUCUUGGAGGUCUUUUCCAACUUGGUCUAGUCUGAAUAGGCUGAAGUAUCUUUCUUGGGCUCAGUGGACGUCGUAUGUUAGCAGCUCUGCUGUCGUACGUCAAAAACCUCAUCCCAAACCAUGAUGGCUUUGGAAACAGCUCCUGUCUUCGUGCUGGAUGUUUCACAGAACCUACACAGCUCACGGGGCUUCAGUAAGAAAGAGCACAGGUACUUCCAGCGUGUUGUUAAAGCAUAAUAGCUAAUAACUCUGUCCGUGUGAUAAUGUACAAUUUAUUAGGUAGUCCAUUGGACGGAUCCGUGAUCCAUUUAUGAGCGUUCUUCAAACCUAAGCUUAGUCUGCACACCUCCAAAAAGAACAAUGUUACCUGGAGCCCAGGGAAUGAAGAUUAAUGUUUCUGUUAUUGUGCUUUCCAUCUUCUGCCUUUAAAUUGCCUGUUUCCAGCUUGGACACAUUUGUAUUUUGUUUCCUAAGCUGUAUUUUUUUUUAAAUCCAAGCACUUGUGUAGCUGAUGUAAUGUAAGGCUUGAAUGUAAUGUAAGGCUUGUCCUAACUGAGCAGAGAGCAAGGGAAGGAGAGAACAGAGACCACAUAAACCCACACUUCAGCGAUCAGGUUAGAUUCAGAAAUAUUUAUUUAGAAACAACAGCUUUGGUAUUUUAAAACCAAACAACCUUUAAACCACUAGAAAGUGAGAUGUCUCCCCCCACAGCCAAAACAAAUGAAUGCUCAAAGCCUCAGUAUGUUCAGAAGAGGAAACCUGCAGAUCAGCAUUUUUAAGUCCAGAAAACAGUUUCUUUAAACUGAUUUUGCACUCUACAAUCAUAAAGGCUGAAAAGACAUUACCUGCAAUUAGAUAUCUACAGUUCAACUGACUGUCUCGUUACUGAACUGGAGGCAAAAUUAUUAACAUCCUCCCCCACCCUCAAGCAAUAAAUUAAAAAACACCAGAAAUGAAGUUAUGCUGAAAUUUUCUAGUUAAUUUAACUCU